AUUGAACGCUGGCGGCAGGCUUAACACAUGCAAGUCGAGCGGGGGAGGUUGCUUCGGUAACUGACCUAGCGGCGGACGGGUGAGUAAUGCUUAGGAAUCUGCCUAUUAGUGGGGGACAACAUUCCGAAAGGGAUGCUAAUACCGCAUACGCCCUACGGGGGAAAGCAGGGGAUCUUCGGACCUUGCGCUAAUAGAUGAGCCUAAGUCGGAUUAGCGAGUUGGGGGGGUAAAGGCCUACCAAGGCGACGAUCUGUAGCGGGUCUGAGAGGAUGAUCCGCCACACUGGGACUGAGGCACGGCCCAGACUCCUACGGGAGGCAGCAGUGGGGAAUAUUGGACAAUGGGCGGAAGCCUGAUCCAGCCAUGCCGCGUGUGUGAAGAAGGCCUUUUGGUUGUAAAGCACUUUAAGCGAGGAGGAGGCUCUUAAGGUUAAUACCCUUGAUGAGUGGACGUUACUCGCAGAAUAAGCACCGGCUAACUCUGUGCCAGCAGCCGCAGUAAUAC
rnacentral:rRNA from 1 species